rnacentral:rRNA from 1 species
UACGUAGGGUGCGAGCGUUAAUCGGAAUUACUGGGCGUAAAGCGUGCGCAGGCGGUUUUGUAAGACAGGUGUGAAAUCCCCGGGCUUAACCUGGGAACUGCACUUGUGACUGCAAGGCUGGAGUACGGCAGCGGGGGAUGGAAUUCCGCGUGUAGCAGUGAAAUGCGUAGAUAUGCGGAGGAACUCCGAUGGCGAAGGCAGUCCCCUGGGCCUGUACUGACGCUCAUGCACGAAAGCGUCGGGAGCAAACAGG